AAAGGAAUUGACGGGGGCCCGCACAAGCGGAGGAGCAUGUGGUUUAAUUCGAUGAUACGCGAGGAACCUUACCUGGGCUAGAACGCUGGACGACCGUCCGGGAAACCGGAUCUCUCUUCGGAGCGGCCAGCGAGGUGCUGCAUGGUUGUCGUCAGCUCGUGCCGUGAGGUGUCGGGUUAAGUCCCAUAACGAGCGCAACCCCUACCAUUAGUUGCCAUCAGGUCAUGCUGGGAACUCUAGUGGAACUGCCUACGCAAGUAGUGAGGAAGGUGGGGAUGACGUCAAAUCAGCACGGCCCUUACGUCCAGGGCUACACACGUGCUACAAUGGCCGGUACAAAGGGCAGCUACCUGGUGACAGGAUGCUAAUCUCAAAAACCGGUCUCAGUUCGGAUCGAAGUCUGCAACUCGACUUCGUGAAGUUGGAUUCGCUAGUAAUCGUAUAUCAGCAAUGAUACGGUGAAUACGUUCCCGGGCCUUGUACACACCGCCCGU
rnacentral:rRNA from 1 species